UCUUGGGUUUUAUUUGGCACUCCAGUGGGUGUCACUGACUGGGGCUUUACGAUGACCAGGACAUCUUCCCACCUUCCAGGCCAGUGAUGCUGUAAAGGACCAACUGCACCUUCAGCAUGAGUAGUGAUGUCACUAGCUCUGCUGUGACUCAUGCUGGCUUGCAGUGAUUUGAUAAAUCCUGUACAUUGGCAGUGGAUAAAGUUGUCUUGGUAACACCCCUGGGAUUCCUCCAAUGCAGAUGCUGGUAGUAGUAGUGGUAUAAGUCUAUCUGUGUUGGCGGGGGAAUUUACUAAGGAUUAGACAAGACAGUUUAAGUAUGUACUGGGCAUCAGAUUCUGACACUAAGUAUGAAUCUCCUUGAAAAUUACAGCCCGUUUAAUGUGAGAAUUUUCUUCUCCGUUUUGUGAAUGCAUGCAAACUACACCAAUGACCAUCCUUCCUACCGUGCAUCUUUAUAAAGAUCUGGUACAAAUUUAGUUCAGACUAGAAUCUGAGAAGAUACACUUAUAGUGGAAGAUUAAUGUUUCCCUUCCUAAGAAAGAGAAGGAAAUGCUGCCUUAGAAUAAGGGCAACUGAAUUUAUUUUUUUCUAAUGGAUUCAGUACAAGAUCAGGAAUAAUUCAAAAUCUUAGCCUUCAAAAGGAAGGUACUAGUUAGCAAUGUUUCCAGUUCUUCUAUAGUAGCAACUUAUAAUAUUAAAAAAUAAUAAAUAAAUAAAUAAAAGAACCUUAAAAGAAAGGGUGUAGACAAUAGCUGCUUCUGAAAUUGAUGUUGCUUGACUAGGGGGAAUAAGUUACAUUGAUGCAGCUGGCUUGCAGCACAUUAAAACUUCCAUUUAGCCUUUCUGCAGCAGAGAUAUAUGAUCUCACAGCAAUUAAUCUACUGAAGAUGCUCAGACUGGUUUGGUCUUUGAACCAGACCUUCUUUACAAAUGUUCAGUGUUUAUUAAUGACUGAUUAUUAUUUUUAUGUGUGCAUGCAGAACAGCUUGCUCUGGUAGAAUAGAGGGCCACUUCAUAUUGGAUUUGUUUCUGUUUGUGCCCUUUUGCGUUUCCUACAGUGAAAGAAUUGGAGUGAAAAAGCAACACUCAAAAAGCUUUUGUUCUGUGUGAGGUGAAGUAACAACAAACUUCAGUAUUCCCUGUUGCAGGAUGUGAUGAAAGAAAUGCUGUGCACAUACUCUGUAAGGAACGCAAAGUGUUCCAGCCAUAUUAAAAUUUUCUUUAAUUACAUCAUAAUAUUCCACAUCUAACUCUAACUUAGAGAUUAUUGAUGUACAAUAUCAGUAUUUAGUUAUAUGAUGGCACUAAUUUCCCUUAUGUUCUCUCAGUUUGAAUAAGGAUCAUCUGUUAUGCUCCUAACAUCGGGCGGUUUUAUACAUAUUCAGUUUGAGGUAUAAUCAUGUUUGCAGACUCCAUAUCCUUGAAAAAUCUUAAGUAUUUCUCCAUCAUAUUUGACAUAAGAUUAUGUGCUUCAUCUCAUUUAUUAGAGAGCAUCUAUUCUCUUUCAGGACAGCAAAUUUUUUGUUAAGACAUAAUCACAAUGAAGUGAGCUCUAUUAAGUGAUUAAACUGUCUCCUUUUAAAAUCCCUUCAUGUUUUGCAAGCCAGGGUGCUUCACAAGGGUUCGUACUCAGCCAACCUCAGUGUUUUAGGCCUUUAGUAAGUUCCUCUACAUUCUCCACCUACAGCAUGCAGCUGCGGAAUAGCACUGUUACAUGUACAGACACCAAGUACUGCCCAGAGCGGUUGCUGGCUUGUUGGCAGCAUGAUGCUUGGUAAAAGCAAAAUAGGUGCAACACGCUGUGAUGCACAGUCAGGAAUUAUAGUGGCCUGCUGAGCUGUUGCUAAAGCCUCAGGAGUUGCCAAAAAGGAGUAGAAAUACACCAAAUUUCAGUUUUGUGUUUUCACAUGCCUGUUGUUUCACAGCGCUGGCACUACUGAGCACAAGUGUAUUAAAGAUGAACUCUGUGUACAAAGUGAUGGGUGAUAUCUGUAAAGACUUUUUCCUUCAUGUUUCUUGUAUUUCAAAAUGUGGCUCAUAGAAAAUAAAUGACCAAAGAUGGCAUACAAACAG
ensembl:lncRNA